CCCCCCACAAGUGGCACUAAGGGGAGCAAGUAAGUGGUAGACAAAUGGAAGAGAAAGAAAAGAAGACACGUGUGUACACAAUGAAGGGAGGCAGAACUGUAGAAUCAAGGGUAGUGAGGAACAGCCUGUGAGUAACUGAUCAUACCACCUAGGACUAUGGUUGGGUUCUGACCUGUGCUGGUACCAGAGGCAAUUUCUGGGUCAGUGGCCCAGCAGCAAGAGGGGUCUAUUACCAUAGAAGGCCAGGCAGACAUCCCUGUGUUGGCUGCUUUCCCAGAGACAUGUUGAUGCCUGAGGGCUGUGCAGAAUUUGCCUUACUCCCCCACCCCCUGCCCAGGCAUUGUGAGAGAGCUUGCCUUCCAGACUUGAGAGCAGAGAUGACCCAGACUAUAACAAGCUGCAGUGCUUAAGAGAGUGGGCCCUUUACUUAAUUUAGGCAGCACAGUAGAGAUGUUCUGAUGACCUGGGGACAGAUGAGCAGCCCCAAGGGCAUUGGAGUGGAGAGUUGGAUGUGUCCCUUGGUGGCUGUGACAUUGGAUGGGUCAGCUGAGGCAGGACAGGGAGAUCUUGCCCCAGUGAUGUGGGUAGUGAAGAGCUGGUGAGUUGAUCUUCUCAGAUACCUUUCUUCCCAAGAUCCAGGACUUUGAGUAGGGCUCACGUCAACAUCUACCCUAUCGAUGAACUGCUGGAGUACAUGAAUGGCUUGUCCUUAAGAUGCAAAACUAUAGGAUCUCCUGCUACACAAGGAAAAACAUGAUAACUGAGAGGAGUCCCAGUGAGGAUCCAGUGUAGCUCCUGGAUUACUCCCUGAGGUGGAAGCUAAUGGCCAUCUCAGAAGAGACCCUGAUGAAAAAGUCCUACCUGGAAAAUCUUGGGAGUCUCUAUUGUAUGCCACAGCUUCACAAUGGUUGAAGAAAGACUGGUGAUCAACUUGUGUGUUUUCAGAUAAAGCUAUGUCUUUCAUAAAACUCACAUCUUUAACUCAA